GACGAACGCUGGCGGCGUGCUUAACACAUGCAAGUCGAACGGAAAGGCCUUUUCGGAGGUACUCGAGUGGCGAACGGGUGAGUAACACGUGGGUGAUCUGCCCUGCACUCUGGGAUAAGCCUGGGAAACUGGGUCUAAUACCGGAUAGGACCGCACUUUAGUGUGUGUGGUGGAAAGUUUUUUCGGUGUAGGAUGAGCCCGCGGCCUAUCAGCUUGUUGGUGGGGUAAUGGCCUACCAAGGCGGCGACGGGUAGCCGGACUGAGAGGUUGGUCGGCCACAUUGGGACUGGGAUACGGCCCAGACUCCUACGGGAGGCAGCAGUGGGGAAUAUUGCACAAGGGGCGCAAGCCUGAUGCAGCGACGCCGCGUGGGGGAUGACGGCCUUCGGGUUGUAAACUCCUUUCGCCAGGGACGAAGCGUUUUGUGACGGUACCUGGAGAAGAAGCACCGGCUAACUACGUG
rnacentral:rRNA from 1 species